UACGGAGGAUCCGAGCGUUAUCCGGAUUUAUUGGGUUUAAAGGGUGCGCAGGCGGGGGAUUAAGUCGGCGGUGAAAUUUUGCAGCUCAACUGUAAAAGUGCCUUCGAAACUGGUUUCCUUGAGUGUAGAUGAAGUAGGCGGAAUUUGUGGUGUAGCGGUGAAAUGCUUAGAUAUCACGAGGAACUCCGAUUGCGCAGGCAGCUUACUAAACUACUACUGACGCUCAGGCACGAAGGCGUGGGGAUCAAACAGGAUUAGAUACCCGCGUAGUCCCU
rnacentral:rRNA from 1 species